rnacentral:rRNA from 1 species
GAUGAACGCUGGCGGCGUGCCUAAUACAUGCAAGUCGAGCGAACAGAUGAGAAGCUUGCUUCUCUGAUGUUAGCGGCGGACGGGUGAGUAACACGUGGGUAACCUACCUAUAAGACUGGGAUAACUCCGGGAAACCGGGGCUAAUACAGGAUAAUAUUUUGAACCGCAUGGUUCAAUAGUGAAAGACGGUUUCGGCUGUCACUUAUAGAUGGAACCGCGCCGUAUUAGCUAGUUGGUGAGGUAACGGCUUACCAAGGCAACGAUACGUAGCCGACCUGAGAGGGUGAUCGGCCACACUGGAACUGAGACACGGUCCAGACUCCUACGGGAGGCAGCAGUAGGGAAUCUUCCGCAAUGGGCGAAAGCCUGACGGAGCAACGCCGCGUGAGUGAUGAAGGUCUUCGGAUCGUAAAACUCUGUUGUUAGGGAAGUACAAAUUUGUUAGUAACUGAACAAGUCUUGACGGUACCUAACCAGAAAGCCACGGCUAACUACGUGCCAGCAGCCGCCGUAA